CACCUCUGGGCAGGAGGGGCGCAGCGUGGGCGGGGACUCGUCAACUUCGCCAGCUCCCCAUCUCCGCGCUGAGACUGCUGCCUCUUUCCUAGGCUGGGCUGAGCACGCUGGCCCGUGGCUCCGCAGCCCCGGCGCGGCUCAGGUGGGCGAGCGCGCGGACCUGCGGGCGAGUGGCAGCGAAUAGAGCAGCACGAUACCCUCCGCCGCGGCCCCGCGAGCACUAAUCUCACUGCCGGUCUCGGGGCUGUAGGAAACGAGGGAGGCGACGCGGCCGGAGAGUGACGGCGCGGCCGGGCCAAUCACGCGCUGCCCAGGGUCCCGCGGGGCGGGGCCGAGGCAAGGAGGGGCUGCGCGGGGCGGGGAGUUUACGGGAAGCGCAGCCUCGCGGGGGCCCGGCCGGCGGCGGGGAGGUCGCCGGGCAGGGAGGCGCGAGAUCUGCUGCUCCCUGGAAUCAUGUUCCUGGCUCCUGGUAGUCCCUGACUUUACCUGUCUGUUCCAGGAACUUGCCUUAUGGCCAUUUGUUCUGAUGAUCAGUUUGGACAACCACCCUUUAUUCCACCACCUCAGACCAUAGUCAACAUCCUGUAACCAUCAUAGCAGUAAAUGUCUGGAAGAACAUCAAAACAGAUGAAAGUGAGCAGAGAAUUGUGAAAAAGACUGCUACAGAGACACAAGAUGAACACGGAAGAGACAAGCCCACUGUUUCACUAUGUGCUGUAUCACUUGGAUGAAAGAUACGACUCAAUUUGACCUUUUUUCUUCCAUAUUCAAAAGCAGGAAAGUUACUUUUCCAGCUGAAAAAGUAGAAUUAAAGUCUGAAAUAUGCUAAUCUCUUUUACAAGAAAUCAUCUUAAUUUUAAUUAAAUUAUCCUAUAGUUUACUGAAAGGAUUUACAAACACAACUGCAGAAUUUCCCUCAGUAAUGUUUAAGAAAUAAUAGUGAAUAUGAAUGGUACCACACUAAGAGACUGACAAUUUUCUAAAAAAAUGUAUCAUGUCCUAAAAAUUGGGUGUUGAUAUACUUGAUGUUAAUAUUACAAACUUUUUAGAACUAAAAACUAUAAUAGUUGACUUAUGAACUCUUAAAAAUUGUAUCUUCUCUCUCUCUUUCUCUGUCUCUCAGAUCAACCACAAUCUCCAGAUAUAAAACACAGGGAACCAGGGAACCAGAUACCAGCUCAAGGAAGGACGAGUUUUCUUAAAAUUUACAGUGGCCCAAAUUUGGACCAUCAGUAACAACCGCAUGUUCUCAAUGUAUGUAGUGGACUGAGGCCAAAGCAGAACCACCACCACAGUCUGAAGAGUCCUUUAAGAAAUUCUCUUAUUGGGCGGGGUUGGGAUUAAGUGAUCUCAAAUUGCUGUUUUAAUCCUUAGUUCCUAAAAUUCUACACAUCUGUCUUGGGUGAAUGGAACAGACCAGCUUACAAAACACAGAUCCAUUUCACUGUCUUCUAGGUUUCACCCAUUAUUGGUAUGAGAUGGCAUGAGGUCCAGAGGAGUGUGGAAGCUCAUGUGAGCAUCAUUACUGAGGGUAGAGGACUUGCUGUCUGCACACCC
ensembl:lncRNA